GGGGGGAGGCCAGAUCCUGGGCUGUGUCCCGGCGCCCUGUGCUCCGGAGCCUGCGCUGUUGGAUUCGCGCUCCCGCCCCGCAGCCCCCU
rnacentral:pre_miRNA from 1 species